AUUGAACGCUGGCGUCAGGCCUAACACAUGCAAGUCGAUUGAGCGGCGGACGGGUGAGUAAUGUAUGGGGACUGCCCGAUAUGGGGGGCUAACUACUUGAAACGGUGGCUAAUACCGCAUACUAUCGGAUAACCCAUAUGGGAUUAGGUAGUAGGUGGGGUAAAGGCUCACCUAGGCGACGAUCGAUAGCUGGUCUGAGAGGAUGAUCAGCCACACUGGGACUGAGACACGGCCCAGACUCCUACGGAGGCAGCAGUGGGGAAGAUUGCACAAGGGGCGCAAGCCUGAUGCAGCCAUGCCGCGUGUAUGAAGAAGGCCUUAGGGUGGUAAAGUACGUUCAGCGGGGAGGCGGUACCCGCAGAAGAAGCACCAGCUAACUCCGUGCCAGCAGCCGCGGUAAUUC
rnacentral:rRNA from 1 species